UGAGCAAUCUGCCCUUCUCAUCGGAAUAAGCGUUGGAAACGACGUCUAAUGCCGAAUACGACCUCCUUUCGCAUGAUCGGAGGUGGAAAGCUCCGGCGGAGAAGGAUGAGCUCGCGGCCUAUCAGCUAGUUGGUGUGGGUAAUGGCCCACCAAGGCGACGACGGGUAGCCGGCCUGAGAGGGUGACCAGCCACACUGGGACUGAGACACGGCCCAGACUCCUAAGGAGG
rnacentral:rRNA from 1 species